rnacentral:rRNA from 1 species
AUUGAACGCUGGCGGCAUGCCUUACACAUGCAAGUCGAACGGUAACAGGUCUUCGGACGCUGACGAGUGGCGAACGGGUGAGUAAUACAUCGGAACGUGCCCAGUCGUGGGGGAUAACUACUCGAGAGAGUAGCUAAUACCGCAUACGAUCUGAGGAUGAAAGCGGGGGACCUUCGGGCCUCGCGCGAUUGGAGCGGCCGAUGGCAGAGUAGGUAGUUGGUGGGAUAAAAGCUUACCAAGCCGACGAUAUGUAGCUGGUCUGAGAGGACGACCAGCCACACUGGGACUGAGACACGGCCCAGACUCCUACGGGAGGCAGCAGUGGGGAAUUUUGGACAAUGGGCGAAAGCCUGAUCCAGCAAUGCCGCGUGCAGGAUGAAGGCCUUCGGGUUGUAAACUGCUUUUGUACGGAACGAAAAAGUCUCCUCUAAUACAGGAGGCCCAUGACGGUACCGUAAGAAUAAGCACCGGCUAACUACGUGCCAGCCGCCGCCGUAA